rnacentral:lncRNA from 1 species
UCCAAUUUUUGUAUUUAUGAGCAAAACUCAACCUUGCAAGAACAUGUCUUUUGGCAAGUAGAGGCUUCUUUUGUUACACACAAGCACCCAAACCAGCUUCUCUCAAACCACGCCUCAAGGUGAUGUCUCAGAAGUGUUUACCUAUUUUUUCUCGAAGUUGUUUUGCAGCUGCAUUUGCCGUUUUGAGACAACCACCAGUGACAAGGUGCACACCAAGUCGCUUCUCUUGCUCUCCUAAAACCUUUGGAUGUCCUCCUCUUUGCUUUUCUAUUU